CAAACCAGGCACAUCACCUUAACUGUGUACAGGCAUCGUUUCGCCUCUGAAGAUGACAAUACCUCAGUACAAGACSUAAAAGCAAUAAUGGCCUACACUGUUGGAGGCUGUCUCAUCUUGUUCCUUCUGCUCUUCCUUCUCUACUGCAAGUGGCAUUUUGGURCAAUUCUUCUGAAGACAUCUAGAGUUAUAAGGCAGCAAGAGUCUCUCAGUCAUGAUGAGUCCYACAUGGAGAACAAGC
rnacentral:lncRNA from 1 species